CAGGGGGCCUACUCACAGAGACCAUUCUGUGAGAAUGGAAUCGUUUCUCCUCAGAAGGCCAGAGGCUGCCUGGGGUUGUGCUCUUUCCCUGAGUAAAUGGGUUCCAGGCUGGGGUGCCAGGCAGGGGGUUUGUGUGACGUCACUCUGUGCGGCCCUCUUGGCAGUGCGCCGAUGACCCUGAUGCUGUCUGCACCCGCUCAGUCACCGUCCGCCUGCCGGGACUGCACAACAGCCUCGUGAAGCUGAAGCACGGGGGAGGCCUGUCUGUGGAUGGCCAGGAUGUCCAGAUCCCUCUCCUGCAAGGUGACCUCCGCAUCCAGCACACCGUGAUGGCCUCCGUGCGCCUCAGCUAUGGGGAGGACCUGCAGAUGGACUGGGAUGGCCGUGGGAGGCUGCUGGUGAUGCUGUCCCCAGUCUACGC